CCUUUCAAAAGUCAUCUCUAGGGAGGCUGUCCCUCCAGACGUGGCACCUGAAGAUCCUAAGGUGGAGUCUGGAUCAAUUUCUUUUCCUCUAAAGGCACUUGUUGAUAGUUCAUCCUUCUGACAAGAUGUAUGCAUUCCUGGCUCCUUUUUGCUAUAGUGAUUCAACCCUGGCUAUGUGGAAGACAUGGGGAUUCUUAUACACCAGAUGAGGAGAGCCUGAGGAGGAAGCAUCACUUUAUACAGUGGCAAAAGCAAUGAACGAAGCAACAAAGAUCAACAGAUUAGAAGAGAAGAACCAUGAGAGGAUGUCAGGGGUAAGGAUAACAGCGGAUGGAGUGCUGGACCUGGAUUCAGAAAGACUCAUCUUCCUGUGUUCAAAUCCUGCCUCAGACACUUACAAAC